rnacentral:tRNA from 1 species
AAGACUGUAGUUUAUAAAAAACCAUUACUUGUCAAGUAAUAAAAGAGGAAAAAAAUUCUCCGAUCUAG